GUCUUCUGCUUCCUCCAAACCCAAACCACCUAACCUUGACGACUUUCCAAGUUGCUAACUAAAAGUGAGCGGAUACUUGUUUUGUUCUGUUUAUGCCGCACGCAAGUAAGGAAUGUAAACAGUGCGCUGCCGUCCUUCUUGUCGAUUACCCUUUUGGUGGGAGCGACACACUUCUAGUUUGUUUUAAUGUGUUCUGUACGCAGCGGAACUGGCGAAGGGGAUCCUAUAUCCUAUAGAUAGAUGGCAGAGAAAGAGGUCAGAUUAAUUGGAGCGAAGCGGCUGAGCGGGCCAGGGUGUUAGGUAGGCUUAUUGGUGGCAGUCGCUCCCUUUUUUUUGUCUGUGGCUUUGUUUUGCGCAGGCGUUGUACCAGUGCAGGAAGAGAAGAAGGGAAACGGAGGGCAAGGUCGAGCGCCCGUGUCGUCGUAGGCAGCGGUGAUUAAUUAACGUCGACAUCGUGGCGGGCGGGCGAGGCGUCUCGAAUAAUGUUCGUGGUCGCUCCUCUCAGCUCCGGGCGUGCACCCACCCAGACACGCGCGGCAGGCGGAGGAGGUGGUCCGGUGGGAGCAGCAGCGGCAGCAGCAGGAUCUAGGCGUCGUCACGCACGGCCUCCCUGCGCGCUACCGGCGGUCGGCACCGGAGGGCGAGGAGGAGCAGGACCGGCGGGAGGACCAGCCCGAGCGGAGGCGGAGGAGGAAGUAGAGGCUGCCGCACAAGGUCCGCCCGCGGCCUAGAUGGUGCCCCUCCUGGAACGACGUCCGGUUCUCCCCAUGCAAAGGAACGAGGAGAGGUGGAGGGAGAGAGGAGCGACUCGGGGUGCGAGAUUACGAACGAACGACCAAAGCCUCGAACUAGACCUUAAACUCUUCUAACCCGACCCCGGACCCACAAGCCAAUGUACGAGGCGAAUCUACGCACCCCACAGCUAAGGGACUUUGCAGGGCGCGGCUGCGUUGCAGACGCCAGCACAGUAGUCUAGUCGCCAGUAAGUUGACAUCCGCUACUCCUUUUUAUUUAUCCCUAACUCCCUUGUAAAACCACCGAGUCAACAAUCUACUAAUGCCACUCCUUGACCCCACGAGAUGCUCAACUUGCGUCCCUACUCCCGACAUCGAAGGGCUCCUACAAGAAAUGGCUGAUUAAUUUUUCCUUAACUGUACCAAACGGCUGAUCAGGCGCAAAGUACAACAAGCGUGACAUGUAUGAUGUACGCGUACGAUCAAUAUUGAACAACGACCUGUUAUUUUGGAUUAAUGUGGGUGUAUCCUAUCCUUCUGAACGAUUAGCACUACACCUUAAAGGCUCGGACGACGAACCAUGAUUCUACGACUAGUGAUUUAUCUCUCGCACCAUUUGACUGUAUGCAUGCUAUUUUACCGCCUCUCCUCUAAACGACUCGAACACUACGAUUUUGGCCUUGAACGACAGAUCAUUCCGUACGUUAUAGGUCCAUCACUUCGGACAUAGGGAAUAAGUCAAUCUUCGUGGUGCAAUAACACUGUUUAAUUGGUCACAUCAGAGUUGUAUAAAGACGUUCAAUAGGUUUUAAAGUAACCCAUUCAACCAAGGUCCGAAGGUCCCCGUAUGAUUGGUUUACGAAGCUCCGUCGGGGUCUCACGUAUAAAACCAAAGAAGACAAGUGAUUUGUUAUGGACGUACAACGAUUGUGACAUGGUUCAUCGUAGUUCUAUCUAGGAUUAAGUAGUAACAUUACCUACCACAGACUGUAUGUAGAUGGGUACAACUUCUGAAAGUCACGGAACUAGAUAAUAUAAAGAGAAUCCAGUAUGAACACGAAAAGUCUAACAGGACACUUGAAACUCAAGGUUUUGAUGUGGCAGUAGUGUUCGUCCACGUUUCCCGGUUUUAUAGGGCGAUUUCUGACGACACUAAGAAAGUUCCUUAAACGUACGGGUAAAUUAUUGAUGUAGUUACUACUUUCGUUACUGACACGUAGGUGUUACAAGUCGAUGUAGUUGGAGAUACCUUUCAUGGGUGGUCCGGACAAACGGGUGCUCACGGCUCUUCCGUUCGAUCCAGAAAGAACGCUUCCGCAGGGGGUCUUUCUGCAACAAUUUUCACCACAGGUUUCCCGAGCUUCGUCGAGCGAACGAAACUAAUGAGAGUACACACCUGAUCAUCGUAAUAAGAAGGUCAUCCACCACCACCACCACUACGGAAAUAAAGAGGGAACAAAAAGCUUACUACAACUCGGACUUAGGCGACGACGAGGAAUUCCGCGAGAACUUUAAAAGGAAGAACGUUAUAGAACAUUAAACUUCGAUACAGUCUAAUGUAUAAGAAACCUCAGAGUGGACCAACGGUUGAAUCUUAAGUGACUAACAGCAACAUAGUAUGGAGAGUGUGACAUAAUACAGAGUGAGCACACAUUACUACUAUUGAUAAAAAAAAAACGAGUGACCUUUCUCAAACCAACAUACACUUAGUAGUACCGAAUCAAGUAAGAUCAGAGUUUCUUUCAGCACUAUUAACCAAAGGGAUAGAUAUUCGACGUCCAAAAGAGAACGGUUUCCAACGACGGAAAAUAAAAGUGAACGAAGUCUGUUUAAAACAUCAGGGA
rnacentral:rRNA from 1 species